rnacentral:rRNA from 1 species
UACGUAGGGUGCGAGCGUUGUCCGGAAUUAUUGGGCGUAAAGAGCUCGUAGGCGGCUUGUCGCGUCGGAUGUGAAAGCCCGGGGCUUAACUCCGGGUCUGCAUUCGAUACGGGCAGGCUAGAGUUCGGUAGGGGAGAUCGGAAUUCCUGGUGUAGCGGUGAAAUGCGUAGAUAUCUGGAGGAACACCGGUGGCGAAGGCGGCAUCCCGGACCGGCAUUGACGCUGAGGCGCGAAAGCCAGGGGAGCAAACGGG